rnacentral:rRNA from 1 species
AGGACGAACGCUGGCGGCGUGCUUAACACAUGCAAGUCGAGCGAGGCCCGCCUUUCGGGGUGGUGUUCUAGCGGCGAACGGGUGAGUAACACGUGGGCAACCUGCCCUCAGCUCUGGGAUAACUCCAAGAAAUUGGGGCUAAUACCGGAUAUGACUGCUGACCGCAUGGUCUGGUGGUGGAAAGAUUUAUCGGCUGGGGAUGGGCCCGCGGCCUAUCAGCUUGGUUGGUGGGUAGUGGCCUACCAAGGCGACGACGGGUAGCCGGCCUGAGAGGGUGACCGGCCACACUGGGACUGA